GAUGAACGCUGGCGGCGUGCCUAAUACAUGCAAGUCGAGCGAACGGACGAGAAGCUUGCUUCUCUGAUGUUAGCGGCGGACGGGUGAGUAACACGUGGAUAACCUAACUAUACGACUGGGAUAACUUCGGGAAACCGGAGCUAAUGCCGGAUGAUAUUUUGCACCGCAUGGUUCAAAAGUGAAAGAAGGUCUUGCUGUCACUUAUAGAUGGCUCCGCGCUCCAUUCGCUAGUUGGUAAGGUGAAGGCUUACCAAGGCAACGACUCAUAGCCGACCUGAGAGCGUGAUCCCACACCUUGGAACAGAGACUGGUCACACACUCCGACGGGAGGCAGCAGUAGGGAAUCUUACGCAAUGGGCGAAAGCCUGACAGAGCAAAGUCGCGUGAGGCCUGAAGGUCUACGGCUCGUAAAACUCUGUUAUUAGGGAAGAACAUAUGUGUAAGUACCUGUGCACAUCUUGACGGUACCUAAUCAGAAAGCCACGGCUAACUACGUG
rnacentral:rRNA from 1 species